AGCUGCAGUUGUGUGCAGUAAGGCUUGAGCAGAGUGCGGUGGCUCCGAGUUGGGACAACCCUGAGUCCUGUUCUUCUGGUUCCCUGUGACCUCGCACUAGGCCCUGGAACUUUUGAGUCACGCCGUCGGAAGAUGUGGUGUCUGUCUGGGGCUGGACUCCUUGAGUGUUUGCCACAGGACAAACCAGAUGCUCAGGAUGAACAGGCGUCGCUGGAGAAGAGCCCACGGGUGAUGACCUUGUGGCCCUCAGCCUGGACAAGUAGCAUGCGGAGGCUCAGAUGACACAGUUGAGGACACCUUGGAUCCUGUGAAGUCCAGUGUUGGGUAGAGACUCAGAGAAGAUGGGGCAUGAAGUUGACAUUCAGGGAAGACCAGGACCUACGAGAGAAAAGAGGGUCAGGACCAUCUGCUACCGGCCCCAGCCCAGAUGAUACAGUUGGAGCCUACCCACAGCAUCCUCUCCCGCCUUCAGACAGUUCCAGGAACGAGAAAAGUAGAAGAAGAAGACUUAUUCAGUGUGGCCAAAUUGAGAAGAGGGACAGAGAGACCAGUGGCUUCUGCUUCACCAAGUCCAUCUUCAAGGCCCUCCAGUGAGGAGAAAGCUCAAAUAGAAGAUACUGACAUCAGGAGUCUCUGGGACAAGUAGGAAGCCAUCGCUGGCCACAGCGGACCCUGGCGUUCACAGGAAGACGGCGUCAAGUCACAGAGAGAAGCAGAGAUGGGAUUUAUGUAAUGUGGCUGCUUUGAAAAGAAGAGCAAAGACGUCCAGUGACCCCCGCCCCCUACUGAACUUUGGUCCAUCUUUGGGGUCCUCAGAUGAGGCCACCAGGACUGGAGACUCCAGCUGCUGUGGAAAUUUUCAAGCUCCCCAAAGAGCCCCUACUGCAUCAGAGAUCACCAAGCUGCAGGUACGGACUGUGCUUCCUGUCACCACCGCAGCAUCUGCGUACUGCAAUCCCAGGACCUCGGAGACUCUGUUGAGACCUUCUAUCCUGGAAGAAUCUUGGCAGUUCUACUUUUCCUCCACUUAUGUGGGAGUGUGUCCUGGUGUUCUUAAGAAUUGCUCUGCUCAUUCCUCCUCCCCACAGACUCACAAGAGGACAGCUUGCAGGAGCUGGCUGUUCCCUUCUACCGCAUGGGAUGGAACCGAGGUCCGUAGGCUUGGCAGCAGGCGCCUUUACCUUCGGAGCCAUCUGUCUUCGUCCAUCGAGCCAUCUUGCAGGGCAUAAUCUCUGAGUUCUUAAACUCAGGAUUCAAAUAUCGGGGCUCAUUCUCAUCUCUCACUUGUACCAUGAGGUGGUGCUAAAUAUGCCGUCAUUCUUAUGAUAAAAAUUUCUAGAACGCUCUCUCUGUUAUACGUAGUGGAAUUAGGAACUUUGAUGUGGUUGAGAUGAUUAAUUAACAAGAAUUAAAAAUAGCAUUAUGGGGCUGAAGAGAUAGCCCAGGA